UCGCGCACAAAUAAACAAACAGAAAUUGUGCGAACAUAACCUUCUCGCGGAUGUUUUGUUUCUUUUCUGUGCUGCUGUGAUUUUUGUUUAUAAAAUCGGGAGUGAAAUUUGUUACCGGUCCGGUCUUGUCCGCACGAGUGAACCGAGCACCAUCGGGGAUUCUUGACCACAUUUGGCCCAGAUCUCAGGCUAGGCCGAUUUUGGUCUGAUCCGGAAUCAGGAGGAGGAAACAACAAAGGACGGCUGCAGCUGAAUGCACAGCGUAGAAAUCUUCGUUAAGAUGAUUUUCCCCGGAGAGAAAACUGACACCAUCUGAUGGUGUCAUUGGCCAAAACAACACGACAGACAGCCAGCACCCGCGAAGAUUCCGGCAAGAACGUGUCCCCGUUCCUGUGCUCACCGGAAACGAAACCUGAGGCGCGUAUACGAAUGCGGUGAGAACACCACGAACGUGCCUAACAGCAUGUGUACCACGAAGCCUCAGCUUGACCCGCAGUUCUACAACAUCAUCGACUGCCUUGUGCGGUGGUAGGUUUCCGAGUGGAGCAAGUGCUCAAAACCCUGUGCAGGCGGCCUCAAGGAGCGUCGCGUCGAGUGCAAGCAAAUCAUGGCCCAGGAACACAAGGUCGAAUGGCCGACGUCAAUGUGCCCGAGCAACACACCUCCGGACAAGAAGCCCUGCAACGGCAAGGCGUGCGCCCCGGAAUACCAGA